rnacentral:lncRNA from 1 species
UAUCCAGUUAUCUUUAAUGAUCGUUGGUUAUUUAAGUUAGUGGCCGACUAACGUAAAUAAUUAUCCGGUUAUUGUUAUUGUUAGUUGGAUUUUUCAAUCAAUAAUCGAUAAGGAGUUCUAGCCUUCUCGCUAAAAUGAGGAGAAAUGGCAGUAACUCUAUAGAUCUUCUUCUUAGUGUUGGAUUGAAGACAAUGGGUGUUUCUCCCCGUAAUAUGCACACUAGCCCUUUGUGGUAGCUCAUACUGCCAUAUUUAGCUCCUUUAUCGGAGGAAGAGGUCGUAGCAUUAUUGUUUCAACUUGUUGUUGUUGUUGAGAUGUUCUCCACCAAACUGAUCUACUCCAACUUUUCAUCAAGUUAUCAAACUUGAACAACAUAAUACCCUCUCCUUUCCUAAUAAAACUUAUUGGUUAGCCAAGUUGAGAAAUCUUGUUACAAGAAGAAAAUAAUUGGCGAAACGAAAC